UGUGGUGCAGUGAUUAUAAAAUCAUUCCUCGUCCUGAUGGGAGAUCUGCGUGAUCGACUCCUAUACACCCAUAGAAUCUGAGCACCA
rfam:Oryza punctata chromosome 7, whole genome shotgun sequence.